rnacentral:lncRNA from 1 species
UUUGUAACAGUUUUAUUCUACAUUUUUAAAUAUAAUGUUUAUUUUCUAAACUAUUGGUCGUUUUCUUAAAGAAAACAUAAAUCUUCAAAUUUUUUUGUGCAACAUUUUCAAGGAACAAUUCUUGGAUUCAAAAUUCAAAAAGAAUUUUGAACAAUUCGUAACUUCCUUUCAAAAACAAUAUUUAGUCAUAGUCUUCUUAGUUAUAAAAUACCGAUAAAAAAACCAUAUCUCCUGUUCACGGUUUUAAGUUUGUUCAUCGUGCUCACAUUACUUGGUAACGAUUUU